rnacentral:rRNA from 1 species
UGGGGAAUAUUGGACAAUGGGCGCAAGCCUGAUCCAGCCAUGCCGCGUGUGUGAAGAAGGCCUUUUGGUUGUAAAGCACUUUAAGCGAGGAGGAGGCUACUUGGAUUAAUACUCUAGGAUAGUGGACGUUACUCGCAGAAUAAGCACCGGCUAACUCUGUGCCAGCAGCCGCGGUAAUACAGAGGGUGCGAGCGUUAAUCGGAUUUACUGGGCGUAAAGCGUGCGUAGGCGGCUUCUUAAGUCGGAUGUGAAAUCCCUGAGCUUAACUUAGGAAUUGAAUUCGAUACUGGGAAGCUAGAGUAUGGGAGAGGAUGGUAGAAUUCCAGGUGUAGCGGUGAAAUGCGUAGAGAUCUGGAGGAAUACCGAUGGCGAAGGCAGCCAUCUGGCCUAAUACUGACGCUGAGGUACGAAAGCAUGGGGAGCAAACAGG